rnacentral:rRNA from 1 species
CCUACGGGUGGCUGCAGUAAGGAAUAUUGGUCAAUGGACGAAAGUCUGAACCAGCCAUCCCGCGUGCAGGAUGAAAGCCCUAUGGGUUGUAAACUGCUUUUAGCAGAGAAGAAAAGCUUUCAUUAAUGAGAGUCUGACGGUAUCUGCAGAAUAAGCACCGGCUAACUCCGUGCCAGCAGCCGCGGUAAUACGGAGGGUGCCGGAAUUAUCGGGCAUUAAGGGGUUUAAGGGGGAGGAAGACGUCGGUGGUGAAAUCUUGUCGCUUAACGAUAAAAUUGCCUAUGAUACUGGUACUCGUGAAUUGGGUUGAGGUUAGCGGAAUGUGACAUGUAGCGGUGAAAUGCAUAGAUAUGUCAUGGAACACCAAUUGCGAAGGCAGCUAACUGGGCCUUGAUUGACGCUGAGGCACGAAAGCGUGGGUAGCGAACAGGAUUAGAUACCCGAGUAGUC